UACGUAGGGGGCAAGCGUUGUCCGGAAUCAUUGGGCGUAAAGAGCGUGUAGGCGGCCAGAUAAGUCCGCUGUGAAAACUCGAGGCUCAACUUCGAGCUGUCGGUGGAAACUAUUUGGCUAGAGUCCGGAAGAGGAGAGUGGAAUUCCCGGUGUAGCGGUGAAAUGCGUAGAGAUCGGGAGGAACACCAGCGGCGAAGGCGGCGACCUGGACAAGUACUGACACUCAACUACGAAAGCGUGGGGAGCAAACAGG
rnacentral:rRNA from 1 species